rnacentral:rRNA from 1 species
GUAGGCUGCAACUCGCCUACAUGAAGUCGGAAUUGCUAGUAAUCGCGGAUCAGCAUGCCGCGGUGAAUACGUUCCCGGGCCUUGUACACACCGCCCGUCACACCAUGGGAGUCGGUAACACCCGAAGCCUGUAGUCUAACCGCAAGGAGGACGCAGUCGAAGGUGGGAUUGAUGACUGGGGUGAAGUCGUAACAAGGUAUC